rnacentral:tRNA from 1 species
AUUAAAAUAGCUUAAAGAGAGUUUUGUGUUGAAGUUGCAAAGGUGGCAAGGCAGCCUUUUAAUA